CAUUCACGGAGAGUUUGAUCCUGGCUCAGGACGAACGCUGGCGGCGUGCUUAACACAUGCAAGUCGAACGAUGAAGCCUUUCGGGGUGGAUUAGUGGCGAACGGGUGAGUAACACGUGGGCAAUCUGCCCUUCACUCUGGGACAAGCCCUGGAAACGGGGUCUAAUACCGGAUAACACUCUGUCCCGCAUGGGACGGGGUUAAAAGCUCCGGCGGUGAAGGAUGAGCCCGCGGCCUAUCAGCUUGUUGGUGGGGUGAUGGCCUACCAAGGCGACGACGGGUAGCCGGCCUGAGAGGGCGAC
rnacentral:rRNA from 1 species